UGGGCUGUGGCUCAGUGGUGGAGCUCUCACCACCUAAGUGUGAGGCCCUGGGUUUGAUCCCAGCACCACAU
rnacentral:tRNA from 1 species